rnacentral:rRNA from 1 species
GUGGGGAAUAUUGGACAAUGGGGGGAACCCUGAUCCAGCCAUGCCGCGUGUGUGAAGAAGGCCUUUUGGUUGUAAAGCACUUUAAGUGGGGAGGAGGCUUACCUGGUUAAUACCUGGGCUAAGUGGACGUUACCCACAGAAUAAGCACCGGCUAACUCUGUGCCAGCAGCCGCGGUAAUACAGAGGGUGCGAGCGUUAAUCGGAUUUACUGGGCGUAAAGCGCGCGUAGGUGGUUAAUUAAGUCAAAUGUGAAAUCCCCGAGCUUAACUUGGGAAUUGCAUUCGAUACUGGUUAGCUAGAGUAUGGGAGAGGAUGGUAGAAUUCCAGGUGUAGCGGUGAAAUGCGUAGAGAUCUGGAGGAAUACCGAUGGCGAAGGCAGCCAUCUGGCCUAAUACUGACACUGAGGUGCGAAAGCAUGGGGAGCAAACAGGAUUAGAUACCCUGGUAGUCC